UACGGAGGGUGCAAGCGUUAUCCGGAAUCACUGGGUUUAAAGGGUACGUAGGCGGUUUUGUAAGUCAGACGUUAAAUCCCACGGCUAAACUGUGGACUGCGUUUGAAACUGCAGAACUUGAAUAUGUUCGAGGUGCAUGGAAUGCUUCAUGUAGCGGUGAAAUGCAUAGAUAUGAAGUAGAACACCAAAAGCGAAGGCAGUGCACUAGGGCAGAAUUGACGCUGAGGUACGAAAGCUAGGGGAGCAAACAGG
rnacentral:rRNA from 1 species